rnacentral:lncRNA from 1 species
CCCCCCCGGGUCUCCGCUGCCUGACAGCCAACCUCUGACAGCUCCCGCGGCUGCGGCGCGAGAAGAGCAGCAGGAUUCCCAGCGGGACGAGCAGGGGCUGCUUUGCGCUCUCCUUAACCCGCUUAGGUCUUCCUGGAAAACAAAGGAGGAGAAGGAAAAAGCCUCCUUGCCCCUCCUGGAGCAGCAGAUCUGAGCUGAGCCCUUGGGUUUUGGCGGCUGAGGGAACACUUUUCUGUGCACGUCACAUCAGCGUCCCUGCGCGCUGCCCUCCCCAGCCUGCGAAGCCCCAGCUUUUCUGCAAGGCUGCAGGAGUCCCUGCCCCGCGGCGCAGCUCCGAGCUCUGUCCCAGACAAGCUCCCUGCCCUGCUCUCACUGCCCAGACUGCAGCCGUGGAAAAAAAAAAAAAAAUUCGUCCAAAACCGAAAUUUGUCACUUAAUGGUGCAGGACCCAGCGCUACCGGCAGGAAAGGCGUCGCUGGCACUGAGGCAGAGGCCGAACCCCACACGGCAGGGAUGGAGGCUGGCUCCGGGGUGGCUUUCGGGGAGGUUGCUCAGCCUCCGAGCCCCCACCCGUGGCCGUCCCCGUGUCGUGAGUGGGAGGGUCCGGGCAGGCUCGCUGCUGUCCUUGGCCGCGAUGCUGGCCCGGCCCCGGCAUUGCAGCAAUGCCUGGGGGAGGCCUUGGCCUCGGUGGGAUCUGUGGGAUGCCGGCCUCACCCCUCCUCCUCCGGAGCCUCCCGGCCUCCGCAGACCAAGCUGGAAACAAACGAGACUUCAGGGGGACGCGGGAGGACGAGGGGGGUCCCGCCGGAGAGCUGGGACUCGGUGGGGCUGGACGGAUCCAGCCCCCCACGCGAGCACGGACACGGCGCCUGCCUGCUCCCCCCUCCCAGCCAGGGCAGAACCGGGAUGGAAACUUCUCAGCCGCGCGUCGCGAGCUUUGGGGCGGCUCGCUGGAAAAUUCAGAGGGGAAUUUACGUGCUCGCGAACCCCCUCGCCUCGUGCAAAUUGUGAAAAAUGCAAAAAUGCCUCAUCAAAACGCUCGGCGAUGAGAAACGCUGCAGCCCUCCCGCCACCGAGGUGGUGACAGCAGGUUCCUGCCGCUUGCUGUCCCCCUUGCUGCCCUCCAAGAUGCCACUUCUCCUCCUAACUACGCCCAAAAUGAUGUUUUUCAGCCCAUCGCAGCUGUGUGGUCUUUGAUGGGGCUCAGCAGAAAGCGGUCCCCAGAUUGUGACUUUUUGGUGACUCGGUGCUAAGGAAACCCUCCCCGUGCGCCCUGGGUGGGUGACGGCUCUCCAAGACCUUCCCCCACCCAACAGCGGGAUGCGGCACCCAGAGAGCGAAGCACCUCGGGGUGCAACCCUGCAUGGGGGGAUGGAAAAGCUGCCUUCAAAUACCCCCCCUGAAACACAAACCUAAAUAACUGGGUGCUGCGAGAGAGCCCUGGGCACGGCUCGGCACGGAAACGCGGCGUCCCCAGCCCGGGCGGAGCCCCCCCACGCACGCUGCAGCCCGCGGCCCAGGAUAGCAGCCGCCUACGAACAGGAAACCCUCUGCACUUUCGCCUGCGUGGGGGCCCGGGGAAUCUCCUCUGAAUGGAAAGAAACGGCACCCCCGUGCCCCGGGGCCGUCUGGGUGCCCCCGCCUGGGCGGGGAGCUCUGCGGGGGUGCGCGGAAGGGCUGGGGGGGGGGGGGGGGUUCCCCCACCACGAUGCCUGGGUGGAGGGUGCAGCCGACUGGCAUCGCUUUGGGGUAGGAGAAGGGGAUGGGGAGCUCUUCCUGGCAAGAUCCUGCUCUGGGGAUGUCAGAGGGACCUGGGGAAUGGGGAUGGGGCAGGGAGGAGGGCGAGGAAGGGGGAUGGAGGGACGGAUGGCCAUAGUGCAGCCAUCACAGGACAGAAGGGACGGGGUCAGGAGCUGUGUCCGUGGGUGCCAGCUGGAGCUGGGUGCGUCCCUGGAGAGCAUGAGACCACUGGGACAAGGCUGGACCAGCUCUGCAUGUGUCCCUGCUGCCCUGGAGCAUCAGCUUGGGUGGGGGGCUUGGGGAGACAUCGACAGAUGGGAAACCUCCUUCCUUUGCUGCUCCCG